GGCCUGAUGGUCUAGGGGUAUGAUACUUGCUUUGGGCUUCUCUCAAUUUGCAAGUGGUCCCGGUUUCGAAUACCGGUCAGGCCC